GAAAAUAUCUAUGGCAACUACGGAAGCUUGGCCUGCCACCUUACGUACGUAAUGACGUAACGGUAUUCACGUUCGGCUUUACGUAAGGCAUGAUACGCCGUCGUUGUGGCAACCUCGUCAGCUUGGCCGCUCGCGCUUAAACAAUCCUUCAGGCUGCGAGCAGAAUGUCGACUAAACUGGAAUGAUUUUCGACAACCUUUAACACUCCUUUUAUUUAUAUGUUUUAUGAAAAUAUUUAAACAGACAGAAGGUUUAUUCAGUGAGGCGGCGAACCAUGGCGCCGAUGGUGGAUGACCCCCGGAAGCUGUUCCUCCUCACCACAGUGGGAAAUUAUUUCAGUAUGAAGACCUCACCUACACUUGCCACCUGCACACAGAUCAACAACUUCCUGGAUGACGCGAACGAGUUCCUGUUAGCUGCAAGUACGGAUGGAGACGAGCUCACCUUCUCCAACAAGAUGGACAGCGGGCAGUGUGAGAAGCGAGUGCUGGUGUUCUUUAAGCUGCGUCCGUGUGUGAUUACGGAGGAGAACGUCAGCAGCAUGGUGUUAGUUUCCUCCAUGUUGGAGUCUCCCAUCAGCACCCUGUAUCAGUCCAUUAGGACAGUGUUUAAUCCUGCACUACAUCAGGAUGAGAAAUGGAGUCAUGCCUUUGAUCCUCGGCUGCAGUCUUUGCUCAGCGAGCUGGAGGCCGGUUUGGGCUCCGUGCUUCGACACACACAUCCAAAGAAUUCUGGGAAAAAGACACUUUCAGAGGAAGAUGUUCUUGGGCUGGUGACUCCAUGUGAUGAGUUUCAGUAUUGGGCUGAAGUGAGUCGCACAGCAGAGAGGAGCAGUGCAAGAGAGCGAGCUAUAAACUUUUCUCAGCUGUUCAAACCCAUAGAAAAGGACUACAGUACUCUGGACAGUGCGAGUCUGACAGAGGCAUUAGAGCUGAUAGAACACACUCGAGACGUGCUGGAUGACGUGUGGAAGCAGAAUGAACACGCACCCUACUCCGAAACACGCAUGCGUAGACUCAUGGACGUGACAGGCUUCUCUCUGGCUCGGCUUGUGCAGAAGAAGCUGUGUGCGCUGCGUCUGUGGGAGGAGCCAUACUCCAGCGUGAGAGAGAGUCUCAAAAUGGGCGUGGCCGUGUGCGAGCAAUGGGCGGAGGUAUGCGAACACCUGAGCAGCCAGGUGUGGAAACGCUACUCGCUCCACCCAUGGAGCGGAGAGACGCACCGCCCACUCGGCCUGCACGACCUCACAUGCCGGCUGCAGGAGGUGCUGCAGGUGCGUACGGUGCAAGAGAAGCUCCAGCGGAUGGUGUUUGGAGCACAGCAGCAACAGAUUUCUGCCUCCAAAGUGUUCGAGCCUUUUACUGGUCUCAACCCUGUACUGUACAACCCAUACACUGAGCCUUUAUGGAGAGCCGCCGUGUCUCAGUUCGACAGAUUGAUCGCCCCGGCUGAACAGGAAGUAGCAGGACGACUGAAGACUUUCAUCAGAGAUGUGCAAGACAGUCCACAGCAGUUGCUGCUGGUGUUCCAGAAGCACAGAGCGCUCAUCAAACGUCCAACAGUGAGCAAGGAGCUCCAGCCAGAGAGAGAGACCCUGCUUACACGACUACUCGACUACUGCAGAGGGCUUCGUGCUGAUUUCGAUGGCCGAUGCCACGGUGUUCCAGGGGAGAAAACCGGCCCUUUGACAGGCAGGAACCUUCCUGAGGUGGUGAACAACAUAGUUUGGGUCAGACAGCUGCUCAUGAAGGUGGAAGACUCUAUAAAGAUGGCAGAGGUGCUGUUAUCAGACCUGCCAGGAUUCCGUGCAUUUGUGCAGUUCUCCGAUGAGGUUCUUGAGCAGCUGAGGUCGUACGAACAGGAGCAGUUUGAUGACUGGACAAGAGACUUAAUCUCUGGACUAUCAGACCCUAAAUCAGGAAUCAGUUUGCAGGCCAGUAACCGGGUAAUGGAGCUGGAUCAUGUGGACGGAAAGCUGAAGGUCCAGUACUCGGAGCGCUUGGUGAGUUUAGUGAAGGAGGUGAGACAGCUGUCUGCUCUCGGCUUCACCGUUCCAGCCAAGAUCCAACAGGCUGCCACCAUCGCUGAGCGAUUCCACAGACAGGCUCUAGUAUUGAAACAGGUGGCUCAUUUCUACAACACCAUAGACCAACAGAUGAUUCCGUCCCAGAAACCAAUGAUGUUGAAUUACGCUCUUGCCUUUGAGCAGGUUAUUAAGCAGAGUCCUCGUGCAGCGUCUCGGGAUGGAGGAGGAAAACUGCAGAUAACGUGGGAGAACCCAAAAGAGCUGGAGAUUUACAUUAACAAGCUUCAGACUGCUGCAGAGAGGCUUUCCACUCAGAACAGGAAGCUCCGCAAGUGGCACACUGACUUCACUGACAUGGUGGUUAUGUUGAUGGGUGUAGAUCUCCUGCGGCAGCAGCAGCGGUGGAAGGAAGGACUGCAGGAGCUCAGGGCUGGAUUCGCUACCAUCGAGUCCCAGGGUGUGCGAGUGAGCGAUAUGCAUGCAUGGAGACAGCACUGGAAUCAUCAGCUGUAUAAAGCUCUGGAGUUUCAGUACCAGUGCGGACUGGAGGCGCUCAACAAGAACCUUCCAGAAAUACACAUAGAUCUCGUCUUUAAGCAGGGCCGUGUGCAGUUCCGGCCUGUGUGUGAGGAGCUGCGUGUGAGGUACUACAGAGAGUUGAAGCGCUUCAUCAGCAUCCCGAAUCAGUUCAGAGGAGUGUAUGAGAGCGACAAGGGCGCGGAGUCUAUAUUCACCGCCAUGAUUGACAACAACUCCCGAGCCUUCAUCACCAUCUACAGCAACGCCGAGCAGCUGUUUAGCAGACUCCAGCAAGUACAGGACAAGUACAGGGAGUGGGUGGUCUUGGGACAGGUGGAUAUGGAGGUUCUGGUGGAGAAACACCUCCUCACGGUGCAGGACUGGGAAAGAAACUUCAGAGCCCUCAAAGCGAAAGGGAAGGAGGUUGAACGUCUUCCCAGCGUGGAGAAGGUGGACUGCUUCACAGUGAACUGUGAGCCAGUGAAGUCUGCGAUUGACGAUUUGAUCCAGAAGCUAUUCGACACGAUGCUGACGGCUCUGAGGAAGUCCAUCCAGGGUCACGUACAGGCCGUAGACUCGUUUGUUAGCAGUGGGAUGACUACGUUAUCUACACGACCAGAGAGCAUAGAGGAGAUCGGAGAAGCCAACUCCAAACACAGCCAACUCCAGGCCCAGAAACCUGAGGUUCUGCCUCAGUUCCAGCAGAUGGAGGAGAAGAACAGGCUUCUGCGCUCGGUUGCAGGAGGAGGCGUUGACUCAAUCAGCUCGCUCAGAGCAAAGUGGGACAAAUUCGAGCUGAUAAUGGAGAGUCACCAGCUGAUGAUCAGAGAACAGGUGGAGGUGAUGAAGAGCAGCGUGUCGGGCCGGGUCAGUGUGUACUUACAGGAGCUGCAGAAGUUCCGCUCUCGUUGGGAUCAGCUCCGACCCGCCGAUGAUGUCAUUGAGUCAUGUGACCCUGUUGCCUUGCAGCGAUGCGUGGAGCGAUUGAGAGAGAAGAGGGAGGAGUUUAAUGAGCUCGAGAACACGCGCACAAAGCUGCUGGAGGACUGUGAGCACUUUGGAUUGGACGUUCCGGACAUGUCUCUUGCAUCGGACACACUACACGACCUGCAGCGGUGUUCAGACAUGUGGAGCCUGUACGAGGAGUUUCAAAACACAUUGAACACCAGUGCGCAGCAGGACUGGAUCAGCUUCAGGAGCAGGACACACGAGUUCGAGGAGUUCGUGUUGACGUGGCACGAGCGCCUGAGGAAGCAGGAGGAACUCAACACCAUGACGGUGAUGCUGCAGAAAGAAGUGGACAAGUACAAGGCUCUGCUUCCUGUGCUGAAGUAUGUGAGAGGUGAUCACCUGUCUCAGGAUCACUGGCUGGAUCUGUUCAGACUGCUCGGCCUCCCCAAAGGAACCACGCUGGAGAGACUCCUGUUCAGAGACCUGCUGACCUUCUCACAAACCAUCAUAGAUAAAGCCCUGGAGCUGAAGGACCUGAACAGCCGUGCUCAUGCUGAGGUGAGUAUCCGUGAGGCUCUGCGUGAGGUGGAGCUGUGGGCUGCUGGAGCGAGUUUCUCUCUCACCGAGUACACCAACAGCACCGGUGCUCACAUCAGCCUCAUCCGCGACUGGAGAGACGUGAUGAAUCAGGUUGGAGAUAACCGGUGUCUGCUGCAGUCUCUGAAGGACUCGCCGUAUUACCAGCGCUUCCACGAUAAGGUCUCUCUGUGGGAGACGCGUCUGGCAGACCUCGACGACUUCCUGCAGAGCCUCAACAGCAUCCAGAGGAAGUGGCUCUACCUCGAGCCCAUAUUCGGGCGUGGCGCGUUGCCACGAGAGCAGGCCCGCUUUCAGAGAGUGGACCAGGACUUCAGGGCCAUAAUGCGGGACGUGCAAAGAGACAGCAGAGCGGCGUCUCUAACCACACGAGCGGGAAUGAGGAACUCUCUGAACACGAUGCAGGAUCAGCUACAGCGCUGUCAGAAGUCCCUGAAUGAUUUCCUCGAGGAGAAACGGUCUGCGUUUCCUCGUUUCUAUUUCAUCGGUGAUGACGACCUGCUGGAGAUACUGGGCCAAGCGACUAAUCCCACCGUCAUCCAGACACACCUGAAGAAGCUGUUUGCAGGAAUCCACAGUGUGGACUUUGACUCGAGCUGCAGCAGAAUCACGGCCAUGAAGUCACUAGAAGGAGAGACGGUCCCUCUGAGGAACACAAUCACCAUCUCUAAUGAUGUGGAGGUGUGGCUCAGUGAACUGUCCUCAGAAAUGAAGGAGACGUUGAAGUUCCUGCUGUGCGAGUGCAUGAAAGCAGUGAAGGGAGGUGGAGUCGACCCCAACCGCUUCCCCUCGCAGAUCCUGUGCCUGGCUGAACAGAUCCAGUUUACAGAGGAUGUAGAAAGCGCCAUCUGUGAGCAGAACCUACACCAACUGGAACUGGAGCUGACGGCUAAACUGGAGCACUACACCGACACAAACUCUCGCGUCGAGUCUGCAGAGUCCAGUGUGUUGCACUCGAAGCUGAAAGCUCUGAUCCUGGAUGUGAUCCACAACCUGUCGGUGGUGCGGGAGCUGCUGGAGGUUCAGGUUCGCAGCACGGACGACUGGACGUGGACGAAACGGCUGCGUUUCUACCUGGACACAGACCGGCAGUGCUGCACCGUACGCAUGGUGGACGCGGUGUUCGAUUACACCUACGAGUACCAGGGUAAUGCCCCUAAGCUAGUGCACACUCCUCUGACGGAUAAGUGCUACCUCACGCUGACUCAGGCCAUGAGGAUGGGUUUGGGAGGAAACCCAUACGGACCUGCAGGAACCGGCAAAACAGAGUCUGUUAAAGCCCUGGGAGGACUUAUGGGCAGACAGGUGCUGGUGUUCAACUGUGAUGAGGGCAUCGACGUGAAGUCUAUGGGUCGUAUCUUCGUGGGGUUGAUAAAGUGUGGCGCUUGGGGCUGCUUCGACGAGUUUAAUCGUCUGGAGGAAGCCGUGCUGUCGGCUGUGUCCAUGCAGGUCCAGGCCAUUCAGGACUCGCUGAGACAGCACAGAGACACCUGUCACCUCCUGGGCAAAGAGGUGGAGCUGGACCGAAACUCCGGUGUGUUCAUCACUCUGAACCCCGCCGGUAAAGGUUACGGAGGGAGACAGAAGCUUCCGGACAACCUGAAGCAACUUUUCCGCCCUGUUGCCAUGACGACCCCGGAUAACGAGCUCAUUGCUGAGGUCAUCCUCUACUCUGAGGGCUUCAAACAGGGGAAAGAGCUCGCACGCAAACUCACAGCUGUGUUCAACCUGGCCAGGGAGUUGUUGACCCCUCAGCAGCACUAUGAUUGGGGGCUGCGUGCUCUGAAGACGGUGCUGAAAGGCUGCGGGAAUUUAUUACAGCUACAGAGGAAACAAAACACACAAGUCAGUGAGAGUGUGUUAGUGCUGCAGGCUCUCAGGUUGAACACGCUCUCGAAGCUGACGUUCUCGGACAGCGCUCGUUUCGACGCCCUGCUCAGGAGCGUCUUUCCUGGAGUGGACUUCAACGAGGUGCGCUACGAAGAGCUGAGGGCCGCCCUGCUGGGCGCUUAUGAAGAAGCACAUCUCGAGAUCAUACCUAGCCAGGUGAGGAAGGCUCUGGAGCUGUAUGAACAGAUGAGGCAGCGGAUGGGCGUGGUCAUGGUGGGUCCGAGCGGCUGUGGGAAGUCGACGGUGUGGCGUUUGCUGCGUGCCGCGCUGAAGCGUCUCGGGCUCACGGUGCAGCACCACACCGUCAACCCUAAAGCGCUGAGCCGACAGCGGCUACUGGGACACAUGGACAUGGACACACGCGAGUGGAGCGACGGUGUCAUCACCACUGCUUCCAGACAUGUCAUCCGGGAACCUCAAGAGGUGAGUUCAUGGAUCGUGUGCGACGGCGAUAUCGACCCAGAGUGGGUGGAGUCCCUGAACUCCGUCCUGGACGACAACCGUUUGCUGACGAUGCCGAGCGGAGAACGCAUUCAGUUCGGCCCGAAUGUCAACUUCCUGUUCGAGACCCAUGACCUGAGCUGUGCUUCCCCCGCCACCAUCUCCCGCAUGGGCAUCAUCUUCCUCAGCGAUGAGGACACUGACGUGAGCGCGCUGCUAAAAGCGUGGUUAAGGAGAGAGCAGGUGGAGAACAGGGACAAUCUGGAGAACUGGAUUAAUGAUUACUUCCAGCGAGCACUCGACUGGGUGCUCACACAGGGGGAGUGUGUGGUAGAGACCAGUCUGGUAGGGGCUGUCCUGAAUGGUUUGUCCCAUCUCGGGGGGGUGAGCGAGCGGGGGGAGUUUAUAGUCGGGUUGAUCCGUGGACUCGGGGGAAACCUGCAGCUCAAAUCACGACAGGAGUUCGCUAAGCAGGUGCUAACCUGGGCAGGUGAGAGCCCUCCUGACCCGCGGAACCCUCUGGAUCUGUGCUAUGAUGGUGACUCUGGCCGGGUGCGUGCGUACGAGGUGCAGCGUGGAGACGGAGUGUGCGUGGAGGACUUCAUAUAUACGCACACACUCCCCGUCAUACACACUCCACACACACAGGACGCGCUACACAACUUCACACGCUGGCUGCAGGCCGGAAACACACAGCCGUUCCUGCUGGUUGGGCCAGAGGGCUGUGGCAAGGGGAUGUUGUUGCGUUACGCGUUUUCCAGGCUGCGCUCCACUCAGGUAGCGGCAGUUCACUGCAGCGCUCAGACGUCAUCGCAGCACAUCCUGCAGAAACUCGCUCAGACAUGCGUGUGCAUCACCUCCAACACACACCGAGUGUACCGGCCACGCGACUGCGAGCGUCUCAUCCUCUACCUCAAAGACAUCAACCUCCCCAAACCGGACAAGUGGGGGACCAGCAACCUGAUCGCCUUCCUGCAACAGGUGUUGACGUAUCAGGGCUUUUACGAUGAAGGUCUAGAGUGGGUCGGUUUGGAGAACAUCCAGAUUGUUUGUUCGAUGUCAGCAGGAGGCGCCGUGGGACGCCACACGCUCACGUCACGCUUUACCUCUAUAGUCCGCAUCUGCACCAUUGAUUAUCCCGAUAGAACGCAGCUGCAGACAAUCUACAGCGCAUACCUCUCACCUGUGCUGCAAAGCACUCUGGGUAAUCAUCCCACUUGGAGUUCUGCUGGGAAGAUUCAUCAGCUCGCUGGCUCAUUGGUUCAAAUCUAUGAGCAGGUGAAGGCUAAGUUCACCAUAGAUGACCACAGUCACUACCUGUUCACUCCGUGUGUGUUGACUCAGUGGGUGCUGAACCUGCUCAGAUACGACCUGACUGCAGGUAAAUGCCUUACUCCUGCAGACUCUGUGUUGGAGGUGGUAGUGUACGAGGCUCACCGGCUGUUCAGAGACAAACUGGUCUCAGAUAAAGAUUUGCAUGCAUUUGACAGCAUCCUCAGCUCUGUCAUUCGAGGAGACUGGGGCUCUGAUGUGCUGGACAGUGUGUCUGACACAUUCUUUGUGACGUGGGGUGCAAGUCAUGACGGGCAUGGUCACAGCAAGCCCCUCCCACUCUAUGGGAAACCACUUGGCCGUCUCAAUUCCAAUGAUCUCACAGAAGUCAUCCGCAAGGGGGUUCUUCAGUAUGAACGGGAGAACCGGGAGUUGGACCUGCUGAUCUUCCCGGAGGUGUUAGACAUUGUGUGUCGUGUGGACCGGGUCCUGUCUGCUCCAGCUGGGUGUGUGUUGCUGGCGGGACGGAGCGGCGUGGGUCGACGCACAGCUGUGUGUUUGGUGGCACACAUGCACCGCACCACGCUCUACACACCAAGGAUCAGCCGCUCAUACACACUCAAACACUUUAGGAGCGACCUUAAAACCGUGAUGCAGAUGGCGGGUGUAGAAGGGCAGCAGACGGUACUGUUGCUGGAGGAUCAUCAGUUUGUACAUCCCUCCUUCCUGGAGAUGGUCAACAGUCUGCUCUCUUCAGGUGAAGUUCCCGGACUGUACUCUACAGAAGAGCUGGAGCCGUUACUGUCAUCUCUGAAGGAUCAGGCAGCGCAAGAUGGAUUCACUGGACCCCUCUUUAACUACUACACACACCGUGUGCAGCAGAACCUCCAUGUGGUGCUGAUCAUGGACUGUACCAAUGACAACUUUACCAUCAACUGUGAGAGCAACCCGGCGCUGUACAGGAAGUGCAGUGUGCAGUGGCUGGAGGGAUGGAGAGACAGCAGCAUGAAGAAGAUUCCUGAGAUGUUCCUGUCUGAAAUGGAAGAGGAGAACAGCUCCGGAAAAAGACCGAAGAAGCACAAAACAGACUUCUUCCACUCGUUUCUGACUAUCCACGAGUCGUGUCGCGAUUACGGAGCCACGCCUAACCGAUACCUGAGCUUUCUCAAGGUGUACCAAUGCAUUUACAGCACCAAGAAGAAAGAGCUCACCCAGAGACAGCAGCACCUGCAGGCGGGCGUGGCUAAGCUAAACGAAGCGAAGUCAUUGGUUGAUGAGCUGAAGAGGCGCGCUGCUGAGCAGAGCAUGUUGCUGAAAACUAAGCAGGCGGAGGCAGAUGCAGCGCUGCAGGAGAUCACUACAUCCAUGCAGAAUGCAAGCGAUCAGAAAACAGAGUUGGAAAAGCUGAAGGGACGGAUGGCACAGGAAGUGGCCAAAAUAGAGGAGCGAAAAGAGAAGAUCGAUGACGAACUGAAAGAAGUCCAGCCCCUGGUCGAAGAGACAAAGCAGGCCGUCGGAAACAUCAAACCGGAGUCUCUGUCCGAGAUCCGCUCGCUGCGAAUGCCGCCGGAUGUCAUCAGAGACAUUCUGGAGGGAGUGCUGAGGCUCAUGGGAAUAUUCGACACCUCCUGGGUCAGCAUGAAGAGUUUCUUGGCUAAGCGCGGAGUGAGGGAGGACAUCGUGACGUUCGAUGCCCGAAACAUCACUCACGAGAUCCGGGAGAGCGUGGAAGAGUUAUUGUACAGGAACAGGGCAUCAUUCGAUUCGAAGAACGCAAAGCGUGCGAGUGCAGCGGCCGCUCCGUUAGCAGCAUGGGUGAAAGCAAAUGUCCAGUACUCUCACGUCCUGGAGAAGAUACAGCCACUGGAGACUGAGCAAGCAGGAUUGAUGGAAAACCUGCGCAAGACAGAGAGUCGGAGGAAUAAACUGGAGGCUCAGCUCAGCUCCGUCGGAGAACGAGUGCAAGAGCUGAAGGACAAGUUUCAGUGUCGUACCACCGAAGCUGCUAAACUAGAAGCCGACGUGAGCAGAGCUCAGGAAACCAUCAGUGCUGCGGAGAAACUCCUCCACCAGCUGGACGGAGAACACACUCGCUGGAGCACACAGGUGGAUGAGAUUAGCGAGGAGCUGAAAACUCUUCCCAAGCGCGUGCAGCUGGCAGCAGCGUUCAUCACAUACCUGUCUGCCACACCUGAGGAUCAGCGCAGAGCCAUGUUGCACAGCUGGAUGGAGCACGCAGGACUGCAGAAGUUUGAUUUACGUCACUUCCUGUGCUCUGAGAGCGAACAGCUGAUCUGGAAGAGUGAAGGACUGCCAUCUGAUGACCUGUCUAUGGAGAACGCCCUCGUUAUCCUGCAGAUCACUGCAUUAAAGAACCGGAGUGUGGCAUGUCCGUUUCUUAUAGACCCCUCCUCUCGAGCCACAGAAUGGUUACGCACCCACCUUAAAGUGCAUCGUUUAGAGGUCAUCAACCAACAGGACUCUAAUUUUAUGACCUCGCUGGAGUUGGCGGUGCGCUUCGGAAAAACGUUGAUAAUUCAGGAAGUGGACGACGUUGAGCCGGUGCUUUACCCUCUACUGCGCAGAGACCUAAUCGCGCAAGGUCCUCGUUACGUCGUCCAGAUCGGAGAGAAAGUCGUCGACUACAACGAGGAUUUCCGCCUGUUUCUGGCAACCCGCAACCCCAAUCCAUUUAUCCCCCCUGACGCUGCUUCUGUUAUAACUGAAGUGAAUUUUACCAUCACUAGAGCAGGACUGCGUGGGCAGCUGUUGGCGUUGACCAUCCAGCAUGAGAAGCCAGAACUGGAGAGUGAGAAGACCCGACUGUUGCAGCAGGAGGAGGAGAAGAAGAUUCAGCUCGCCCUGCUGGAGGACUCGCUGCUACAGACUCUGGCCACAGCUCAGGGGAACAUUUUGGAGAAUAAGGAGCUGAUCGAGUCUCUGAAUCAGACGAAGGCAAGCAGCGCUCUGAUCCACACCGCUCUCACAGAGUCACAUAGACUGCAGGCCUCGCUCGACCAGGAAAGGGAUGCCUAUUUGCCGUUGGCCGAAAGCGCCAGCAAGAUGUAUUUUGUAAUCACGGAUUUAUCCCGUGUUAACAGCAUGUACCGCUUUAGUCUGGCCUCCUUCAUCAGAAUCUUCCACAGAGCACUGCAGACUCAAAAGGAGAGCGACAGCACUGAGGCGAGGAUCACAGCACUGGAGGCGUCUCUGAAGAGCAUGGUGUACGAAUAUGUCUGCCGCUCGCUCUUUAAGGUGGAUCAGCUGAUGUUUGCAUUGCACUUUGCGAAGGGAAUGCAGCCAGAACUCUUCCAAGAGAACGAAUGGGAUGCGUUCAUUGGACUGAUAGUCGCAGACACGGUCAGGAAGGACUCCCAGAAGUCUUUGCGGGAACACAUUCCUUCCUGGAUUGAUCAAGAGAGACACACUGCUGUGGCUUUACUCAAGAGCACGUUCCCGGCACUGUAUCAGUCCCUGUGCCUGAGCGACGCAGAUCUCUGGCUCUCAUUUUCACAAAGCUCCGUCUGCGAACAGGAAAUCCCUUCUUCCAUCGUCAGGAAGAUCUCUCUGUUCCAGCAGGUGCUGGUGGUCCAGGCUCUCAGACCGGACAGACUGCAGAGCGCCAUGGCCAGCUUCGCCUCACACACACUGGGAAUGAAGGAACUGUCUCCUCCCCCGUUAAACCUGAGACGGCUCUAUGGAGAGACGGUAGAGACAGAACCGGUGCUGAUCAUCAUUUCUCCCGGAGCCGACCCGUCUCAGGAGCUGCAGGAACUCGCCAGCCACACUGUGGGACUCGAGCGUUACCAUGAGGUGGCCAUGGGGCAGGGCCAGGCGGACGUGGCUCUGCAGGUUCUCAGAGUGUGUGUGUGUAACGGAGAGUGGCUCUGCCUGAAGAAUCUGCACCUCGUCACUCAGUGGCUCCCCCUGUUGGAGAAGGAGCUGAACAAUAUGCAGCCUAAACCAGGGUUCCGACUCUGGCUGACUGCCGAAGUUCAUCCCAACUUCACACCCAUCUUACUGCAGUCCAGCCUCAAGAUCACCUAUGAGGCUCCCCCUGGUCUGAAGAAGAACCUGCUGAGGACGUACGAGUCGUGGAGUUCGGAACAGAUCAGUAAAGGAGGAAACACUGCACGUGCUCAGUCGCUCUUCUGCCUCGCCUGGUUUCAUGCUGUGUGUCAGGAGAGACGCAAAUACAUCCCUCAGGGUUGGACCAAAUUCUACGAGUUUUCCCAGUCUGAUUUGAGAGCGGGAUUUGACAUCAUAGAUCGGCUGUUUGAAGGAGGCAAGGCGUUUGAGUGGGACCGCGUGCACGGUUUGUUAGAAAGUGCGAUUUACGGAGGGCGUGUGGAUAACGUGUGUGACCUCAGAGUGCUGCGCUCGUACCUGCACCGCUUCUUCAGCAACCUGACCCUCACACACUCACGCACACGGGCCACACACACUUUUCCACCUCAGGUCAACCUGCCCAGCUCCUGCAGCAUAACGGAUUAUCAGCGUGUGGUGGAAAGUCUCCCAGAGGACGAUAAGCCGAGUUUUUUCGGACUUCCUGCCAACAUCGAGCGUUCUGCUCAACGCAUCACCAGCACACAGGUGAUCUCCCAGCUAAGGAUUUUGAGCAGGUCGGUGACUGCAGGGUCAAAGUUCGACCGAGAGCUGUGGGCGAGUGGCCUCUCACCUGUACUCAACUUGUGGAAGAGACUGAAUCAGGGUUCAUCUCUAAUCCAGCAGAAGCUGGCUCCGCCCACCGAGGGCGUCGGCUCCCCCGUGCUCUCAUUCGUCCUGUUGGAGCAGUUCAACGCUGUCCGAUUGGUCCAGAGCAUCCACCAAUCGCUGGCCUCGCUCAGUAGGGUGAUCCGUGGAACCUCCCUGCUGACGGCCGACACCCACAAACUCGCCACCGCCCUGCUCAACCAGGAGUGUCCGCUGAGUUGGCAGUGUAAGUGGGAGGGGCCUGAUGACCCCAUGCAGUAUCUCAGAGCUGUGGUGAGCAGAGCCCUCGCUGUGCAGAUCUGGGUAGAGAGGGUGGAGAGGAACACACUGCUGAGUGACACCUUGGACCUUUCGGACCUCUUCCAUCCACACACCUUUCUUAACGCCCUGAGACAGGAGACAGCCAGAUCUAUGAGCUGCUCUAUGGACAGUCUGAAGUUUGUGGCAUCAUGGAAGAGUCUGAUAGCUGGAGCUAAACUGCAAGUGAAGGUUGGUGGUCUUCAACUAGAAGGCUGUAGUUUUGAUGGGAAUCGACUGAGUGAGAAUCAUCACAACUCACCCAGUGUGUGUGCUGUUCCUACCUGCUACAUGGCUUGGAUUCUUCAGAAUGGCCCAGGUUGUUACUCUCCAGAGGAGUGUGUGCUGUUGCCGGUGUAUACGAGCGCAGAGCGAGUGUGUGUGGUCACACACAUUGAUGUUCCAUGUGGAGGAAACCAGGAGCAAUGGAUCCAAAGUGGAGCUGCACUGUUCCUCAAACAGCAGUAGCACACACACACACACACACACACACACACACACACACACACUCUGUCUCGGAGGUCUACAGACAAUUCCUUGGACUUCAUGGCUUGGUUUGUGCUCUGACAUGCAUUGUUAACUGUGGGACCUUAUAUAGACAGGAAGAGGCUGCAUAUGUAGGGCAGCGAGAUCACGUCCCACGGGGAAUCUGUCUUUUAAAGUCUGACGGAACCGUCCAGUCUCAUCACAACAUCGUGAACCAAGAUAGAAACUGAAUGAUUGUGAUGAAUUAAGAGAAAAGGGGGGGGAGGACAAGAGAAGAAAGAUUGAGGAAGAAGAGACAAAAAGAAAGAGAGGAGAGAAGAAGGGGAGCCCUGGACUGUGCACAUGCGUAUGAGUUGAAGCAAAGCUGCUGAUUGGCCAGCUGUAAAGUGACUAGAAAGUGAUGCAACAAUGACGAGAACCCAGAAACACGUAUGAGCACACACGUACGCACAGAGCGGAAACCUGUAGAGCUCGGCAAGUCGGAGAAAAGAAUAGAGAGCCAGACGGUCCCAGACAAACACAUGGACGCGUGUAGAGACACCGGAAGUCCUCUCGCCGACACUGGAGACUCCUUAGAGUAAACCUCACAUCAGCAAAUCUUUCAUCCACUUAUUAUUAGGCUGAGAUUAACGUGGAGCGCACACCGUUCGAGUUCCUGUGAACGCGUUGCUAGAGAAAUGAGAACAGCUGGUUGGAAAUUAACCAAUACUUUCUGAUCAAUCAGGUUUGAGCAUUCAAACAGUGCUGGUAUGAAAAGGAAAAAAAGAAGAAGAAAAAUAUAUAUUCUAAGGAAAUUGCGAGCGUGAUGCGAUAAGACCGUCUCGGAGCGGCUGAUUGGUCAGCUGCUGUAAACAACCAUUAUGACGUCAUUAUGACAGGUGGGAGUUGGAAUUCAAAUGGUGAGCGUCGGCUGGGAAGUGGGUUUUGAUCUGAUGAGAGCUAAAUUAUAACACCUCAGGUCUCUCUGUCUCCAGAACCAUCUCACCCCCCCCCCCCCACACACACACCCCCUAAAAUCAUCCCCCUCCCCCCUGAAGCAGAUAAGCUGCUAGACCUAAAGGCCCAAUCAGCACCGCUACAAAGACAGGUCCAAACCAAGCAAGAACUUUUCUGUCUAAACCUGCUGCAGUUUCAAACCUGUCAGUUCGGCUUGAGACGACCGGCGAUGGUCAUCGUACAGGACGGUAUCGGCGACCGACAAUACUCCAUUACACUCCCAUCAAAUCCACGAGCAACGCUAUUGUCCAUCAGCAGGCACGACAGGAUGGUAGGAUAACUAUUGCACACGAUCUCACAAGCCUACCAUCUCAAACGCCGUGACGAGAAAAUACAACACUGAAAACAUCCACAA